AGCGAACGCUGGCGGCAGGCCUAACACAUGCAAGUCGAACGAACCUUUCGGGGUUAGUGGCGGACGGGUGAGUAACACGUGGGAACGUGCCUUUAGGUUCGGAAUAACUCAGGGAAACUUGUGCUAAUACCGAAUGUGCCCUUCGGGGGAAAGAUUAAUCGCCUUUAGAGCGGCCCGCGUCUGAUUAGCUAGUUGGUUGAGGUAAUGGCUCACCAAGGCGACGAUCAGUAGCUGGUCUGAGAGGAUGAUCAGCCACAUUGGGACUGAGACACGGCCCAAACUCCUACGGGAGGCAGCAGUGGGGAAUCUUGCGCAAUGGGCGAAAGCCUGACGCAGCCAUGCCGCGUGAAUGAUGAAGGUCUUAGGAUUGUAAAAUUCUUUCACCGGGGACGAUAAUGACGGUACCCGGAGAAGAAGCCCCGGCUAACUUC
rnacentral:rRNA from 1 species